rnacentral:lncRNA from 1 species
CGGGGGAAUGCCAAUAAUAUCUGCAAUGGUCCAGCCUAUAGCUCUCUUGUACCUCUGAAGUACUGAAAUAAGUGAAUUUAGUUGUUGCUCAUCCAAAUUAGCCACAAUAAUAACAGGUAGCAUAUUUCCGUUGCCUAGAAAUAUGUACCAUAAGUGUCCAAGCAGUUCUUUCAAUUCCAACAUCGGAGGCUCCUUAGUAGAUGGCUUAGCUGGUGGUAUUGGUUGAUUAGCAAGGUCAACAUCUAGCUUUUCAGGAGCAUAAAGAUAUGAACCCAUUCCUGUCAAAGCACAAAUGGUCUCUUCAUACUCCCCGAUGCCUUCACCAUCAUAAUUCAUUAUAAUUGCGGCCAAAGGUUUGAUAAUAAGUUGCUCAGCUAUG